rnacentral:rRNA from 1 species
UUGAACGCUGGCGGCAGGCCUAACACAUGCAAGUCGAGCGGAUGAAGGGAGCUUGCUCCUGGAUUCAGCGGCGGACGGGUGAGUAAUGCCUAGGAAUCUGCCUGGUAGUGGGGGAUAACGUCCGGAAACGGGCGCUAAUACCGCAUACGUCCUGAGGGAGAAAGUGGGGGAUCUUCGGACCUCACGCUAUCAGAUGAGCCUAGGUCGGAUUAGCUAGUUGGUGGGGUAAAGGCCUACCAAGGCGACGAUCCGUAACUGGUCUGAGAGGAUGAUCAGUCACUCUGGAACUGAGACACGGUCCAGACUCCUACGGGAGGCAGCAGUGGGGAAUAUUGGACAAUGGGCGAAAGCCUGAUCCAGCCAUGCCGCGUGUGUGAAGAAGGUCUUCGGAUUGUAAAGCACCUUAAGUUGGGAGGAAGGGCAGUAAGUUAAUACCUUGCUGUUUUGACGUUACCAACAGAAUAAGCACCGGCUAACUUCGUG